rnacentral:rRNA from 1 species
AUUGAACGCUGGCGGCAGGCCUAACACAUGCAAGUCGAGCGGAUGAAGGGAGCUUGCUCCUGGAUUCAGCGGCGGACGGGUGAGUAAUGCCCAUGAAUCUGCCUGGUCUUGGGGGAUAACGUCCGGAUACGGGCGCUAAUACCGCAUACGUCCUGAGGGAGAAAGUGGGUGAUCUUGGGACCUCACGCUAUCAGAUGAGCCUAGGUCGGAUUAGCUAGUUGGUUGGGUAAAGGCCUACCAAGGCGACGAUCCGUAACUGGUCUGAGAGGAUGAUCAGUCACACUGGAACUGAGACAGGGUACAGACUCCUACGGGAGGCAGCAGUGGGGAAUAUUGGACAAUGGGCGAAAGCCUGAUCCAGCCAAGCCGCGUGUGUGAAGAAGGUCUUCGGCUUGUAAAGCACUGUAAGUUGGGAGGAAGGGAAGUAAGUUAAUACCUUGCUGUAUUGACGUUACCAACAGAAUAAGCACCGGCUAACUUCGUG